rnacentral:pre_miRNA from 1 species
AACAGGAGAAUGACAAAUCAGAUUUUUUCUCUUGAUUUUCACCUAUUUCCUCCUAAAAAUAUUCAAAUCCGACUAAAAUUCUAAAAAUCAGGUGGAAAAAUCUGAUUUAUUGUUCUUAUAUU